GGCAGUGUAGCCCAAUGAGUAGGGCACUAGAUUGGACUCAGGAGACCUGGCUUCAAUUCCCAGAUCUACCA
rnacentral:tRNA from 1 species